rnacentral:lncRNA from 1 species
CGGCUGGGGGCUUUAUUAGGGGGCACCGGGGUCUGCUUUCCGACUCCCUUCCGACUCCGCGCCUGCGCAGGAAGCGAUUUGGGGAGUGUUGUGAAUUCCGAGGGCUCCACACUUAAGAGGUUGUACACUCACCUGUCUACCUGGACUCCAAUUUCCAUAUUUCCAGCCACUUGAGGACUGAGAGGUGGAUGAUAAACCCUGUCAUAGUGGAGCAAGUUCAGGUGUUUAACCGCUGUUAUGGGGGAUCUGCCUUUUCUCCCUCUUCUUUCUUACUUCCAUAAGUAUGUAUGUGCAGAGAUUGAAAAAUAACCUUGAGAGAGUCCAUCCAUCUAACUCCAGUUCAUUGGAAAUUUCUGCUUCUUUGAGACUGAGGUUAUAUUCCACUUCUUCUGACUACACCACCACCAUCAAUCUCCUUCUCUGAACUCUUGGAUCAUUACUUCAACCUGAAACAACUCAUCAGGCAGAAUAGUUGCCUACUGCCCCAACCCCACCAAAUGUUCCAGCACCUCUGAUAUUACCUCACAUGGCAAGAGGGCUUUGAAGAUGUGAUUGAGUCAAGGAUCUUGAAUGGGGAGAUUAUCCUGAAUUAUUCAGCUGGACCCAGUGUAAUCACAAAGGUUUUUCAAAGAUGGAAGAGAGGCAGAAGAGCCAGAAAAGGAUAUGUGACAAUGGAGUCAGUGUCAGAGUUGGAGUGACGUGAUGUGAGAAGGAUUCAACCUGCUGUUUCUGGCUUUGAGGAUGAAAGAAGGGGCCAUGAGCCAAGCAAUACAGGUGGCUUCUUUCAAGAAGUUGGAAAAGAAGAGAAAAUAGUGCCAAUAAUUCUUCAUGGAGAUGCACCUCUCUCAAGUCUUGAACAAUGUUUGAGGUAGGUGGUGGCCUAAAUGAAUGAGCAUGUCAUGUGUGAUUACUUAGUGAGUGUAGUUUUGUAAGGCGCACCAAGGAACUGGUAAUUAACUGCUAGGCAUGAGAUUACCCCAAGAUUCUACAAACCCACCUAAGCGUUGUUAUAUUUGUGAAAAGAUUAGAGGAGCUGAACUGUGUAUCUUCUUGGUCUCCAGUGGGCAGAUACAAGGGGAUUGCAGCAAAGAUUGGGGAAGUGGCCUCCAAGUAUGCAUGUGGAUGUCCUCUGCUCCUCUGAAACAUGACGGAUGGCCAUUGUCUUUGUUAGAACAAAUAAAAAGCAGAAGUAUAUUUGCCUUUUAGAGAGAGCUCGGUGUUCCUUUUUGCCAAACACAGUACUCUCUCACACCUGCCUUCUGGGGCAGGGAUAUUUUAUUGGACCACAGAUAUUCUGAGGGGAAAGGAGUUAAAAGUCAGAGCUUGACAAAUGCCAGCUCCGGUGCUAAUCAGCAUUUGUCAAAUGCUCUGAUUCUAGGCUUUGAAAAGUCUUGAGUUAUUAAUGAAGUACCCACUAUUCACUGAACACUGUGUAAAGUCCCCAAAA